UUUUCACGAAACACUGAAUCUGAAAAGUUAACCGAAGAAAAAAUACGGGAAAAAUGAAGUCAACCGAGGAAUAACUAAAAAAAAGGGUCAGAGAUGAAAUUCCUG